rnacentral:lncRNA from 1 species
AUUAACACAAAGGGAAAGAGGAGAGGCACCUGAUACAUGUUCUCUAGGCCUUUUAGAAAACAUGGAGUUGUUCCUUUGGUCACAUACAUGCGAAUCUACAAGAAAGGUUAUACCGUAGUCAUCAAGAGGUUGGGUGCUGUUCAAAAAUGAAUGCCCCACAACUAUCACCAUGGAAAAACUGGAAGAGUCUACAAUGUAACCCAGCAUACUGUUGGCACUGUUGUAAACAAACAAGUUAACGGCAUGAUUCUUGCCAAGAUAAUUGAUGUGCAUAUUGAGCAUAUUAAGUACUCUAAGUGCCGAGACAGCUUCCUCAAACACGUGAAGGAAAACGAUCAGAAAAGGAUCUCAAGGAGAAAGUCACCUGAGUUCAAUUAAAGCAGCAGCCUGCUCCAUCCAGAGAAGCACACUGUGUGAGAACCAAUAAGAAGGAGGCUGCUAGAACUUAUUUCCUAUGAAUUCAUGC